GGAGAUGUGGCUCAACUGGUAGAGUAUCAGCCUUGAAUUUAAAAAGACAAAUGAGGAACUUGAAGACCUGAGUUUAAGCCUCAGUACCUGCA
rnacentral:tRNA from 1 species